rnacentral:rRNA from 1 species
UACAGGGGGUGCAAACGUUGCUCGGAAUUAUUGGGCGUAAAGGGUGCGUAGGCGGCCUGGUAAGUAGGGGGUGAAAUCUCGGAGCUUAACUCCGAAACUGCAUUCGAUACUGCCGUGCUUGAGGACUGGAGAGGAGACUGGAAUUUACGGUGUAGCGGUGAAAUGCGUAGAUAUCGUAAGGAAGACCAGUGGCGAAGGCGGGUCUCUGGACAGUUCCUGACGCUGAGGCACGAAGGCCAGGGGAGCAAACGGG